rnacentral:rRNA from 1 species
AUUGAACGCUGGCGGCAGGCCUAACACAUGCAAGUCGAGCGGUAGAGAGAAGCUUGCUUCUCUUGAGAGCGGCGGACGGGUGAGUAAUGCCUAGGAAUCUGCCUGGUAGUGGGGGAUAACGUUCGGAAACGAACGCUAAUACCGCAUACGUCCUACGGGAGAAAGCAGGGGACCUUCGGGCCUUGCGCUAUCAGAUGAGCCUAGGUCGGAUUAGCUAGUUGGUGAGGUAAUGGCUCACCAAGGCGACGAUCCGUAACUGGUCUGAGGGGAUGAUCAGUCACACUGGAACUGAGACACGGUCCAGACUCCUACGGGGGCAGCAGUGGGGAAUAUUGGACAAUGGGCGAAAGCCUGAUCCAGCCAUGCCGCGUGUGUGAAGAAGGUCUUCGGAUUGUAAAGCACUUUAAGUUGGGAGGAAGGGUUGUAGAUUAAUACUCUGCAAUUUUGACGUUACCGACAGAAUAAGCACCGGCUAACUCUGUGCCAGCAGCCGCGGUAAUACAGAGGGUGCAAGCGUUAAUCGGAAUUACUGGGCGUAAAGCGCGCGUAGGUGGUUUGUUAAGUUGGAUGUGAAAUCCCCGGGCUCAACCUGGGAACUGCAUUCAAAACUGACUGACUAGAGUAUGGUAGAGGGUGGUGGAAUUUCCUGUGUAGCGGUGAAAUGCGUAGAUAUAGGAAGGAACACCAGUGGCGAAGGCGACCACCUGGACUAAUACUGACACUGAGGUGCGAAAGCGUGGGGAGCAAACAGG